rnacentral:rRNA from 1 species
UACGGAGGGUGCAAGCGUUGUCCGGAUUUAUUGGGUUUAAAGGGUGCGUAGGCGGGUCUUUUAAGUCAGUGGUGAAAGCCGACAGCUCAACUGUCGAAAUGCCAUUGAUACUGGGGAUCUUGAGUACAGUAGAGGUAGGCGGAAUUAAUGGUGUAGCGGUGAAAUGCAUAGAUACCAUUAAGAACACCGAUUGCGAAGGCAGCUUACUAUAGUGUAACUGACGCUGAGGCACGAAAGUGUGGGGAUCAAACAGGG